CUUAAAAAUACUGUGAUUUCAGAGGCACACCUCAAGCUGAGGUGUUUUGCAACCAAAUGGACCUAGAGUAAGGGCCGGGGUCUUUAUGACUCUUUGUAGUUGUGGGAUUUUGGAUCAGUCACUAACUUUUUUAUGCUUACAUUUUCCCUUUCAGAGUUGUAAGGAUUCAGUAAGAUAGCCCAUGAAAAGCACUUAGCCUGUGCCAGACACACAGUAAAUGUUCCAACAAUGUUGGCAGUUCUGUUAUUGGAAUAACAAUAAGAAAAAUAAGGCUUUUUUUUUGUAGGUUAAGACCUGUUCAGAUGAAUUUCUUCCUUCAGUUUCAUCUAGUACUGCAUAGAACGUUUGGGUUAUAGUAAUAUAUUAUCUGGAACCAAGAUUUUAAUGAUUUUUGUUUUGUCUUGCUUUUGAAAAGGUAGGUUAAUUCCCUUUCUGCCCUCUAAGUUGUUUCUAUAAUACCACAGACACAUCAGACCUCGCCAGAACUCUUUAAUCAGAGCAUUUAUUGGGUAUAACCCUCCUUGUCCUCAGAAAAAUAAUUUUGUGCUUCCAAGUCCUUACUGAAUAAUUUAUUUGUAUACAGAGGCUUUGGAAAAUUGAACAAAUGUUCUGCUUUUAUGUUACAUGACUACAGUCAAAUCUUAACUCAUCUGUGUGUGUGUGCAUGUGCGGGCCUCACCCGUGCCCUUCUAGCUUCUUUCUGAUCCAAAUCAUAAGGAGGCUGAUAUUUUAGAAUAGUUCCUGUCAAUUUAUGCUCCAGACGGCGCUCCCUACAGGAAUAACAAAAAUGACGUCUGUUCGUGAGCCCUGUUAAGGCCAGGCACUGUAGCUAGUUGCUUUCAUAAAUCAUCUUGAUCCCUACAUUUUGUUUCCCCAGUUUCCAGGUGAGAAAAUUGAGGUUCAGAGAAUUUAAAGGACUGAGGCAAGUCCCUCUAGGUGCCAGAACCAGAAUGCACAUCCUGUUGCUUCUGUGCACAGCCGAGGCUCUCUCCAGUGCCCCCCUGCACCAGCACCUCUGCCGCUGUCACACAUUUCUACCCCUUCACCAGGUAACACCAUCCACAAACAGGAAAUCUCUUUCCUCUCUUCAUAACAUUCAACCUCUAAACUAGGGGAUCCCACCUAAAGGGACUUCCCCGUGUGGGACUCCA
rnacentral:lncRNA from 1 species